UAGGGAAUCUUCGGCAAUGGGGGGAACCCUGACCGAGCAACGCCGCGUGAGUGAAGAAGGUUUUCGGAUCGUAAAGCUCUGUUGUUAAGGAAGAACGAGUGUGAGAAUGGAAAGUUCAUACUGUGACGGUACUUAACCAGAAAGGGACGGCUAACUACGUGCCAGCAGCCGCGGUAAUACGUAGGUCCCGAGCGUUGUCCGGAUUUAUUGGGCGUAAAGCGAGCGCAGGCGGUUAGAAAAGUCUGAAGUGAAAGGCAGUGGCUCAACCAUUGUAGGCUUUGGAAACUGUUUAACUUGAGUGCAGAAGGGGAGAGUGGAAUUCCAUGUGUAGCGGUGAAAUGCGUAGAUAUAUGGAGGAACACCAGUGGCGAAGGCGACUCGCUGGUCUGUAACUGACGCUGAGGCUCGAAAGCGUGGGUAGCAAACAGG
rnacentral:rRNA from 1 species